rnacentral:misc_RNA from 1 species
GGGGUGGUGUGGGGGGUGGGGUUGUUUGGUUAAAUCAUGCCAACCACUCCUUAAAUAUCUCUUCUAUUAUAAGCAUUUUUUGUGCUUGAAUCAUGAAUUAUUUAAUGACCUUAUGCUAUGAGCUAAAAACAAUGCCACGUGAUUUUAAAUAUUAGGUACGUAAAAAAUAGGUUCAUCUGAAAUUCACAGAUUAUAUUUUGCCAUUAUAUCAAUAGACAAUGGGUUCCAUGACCAGAUGACUUGCAUAAGAGCUAUAUUAUGAGCAGUGCACUGUAAAACCUGUAUUGGGAAAUCAAUAUCAAAAAAUGACAUUUUUACCUCUUAUCACGCACAAUACGAACAUCUCGUACACGGCCAAACCUAGAAAAUUUCCUUUCCAGAUCUCUUUCUGUGGUCAAGAAGCUAAAUCCUGCAACAAAUAAAUUGUUUCCUGGUUUCCCUAAUCCUGUUCUCCUAUUAGGAGGAGGAACCCAGGGUCUCUGACGAGGAGAGCGAAGGCUGGAGUGAUAUCCAGGAGGAGAUCUUUGCCUUGGAGAAUUCCUUACCCUAAAGCCAAAAGAAUGAAAUCACCAUGCCAUCCAAAAGCUGUGCAUUAGAGUGGGUGCAUAUAUGCAUGUGUGUUUACAAAUAACCCAAAGAGAUAAAAUUGCUAACAUAAUACAUUUACCUAGGGGACUUGUGACGGUCUCUCACAUGCGGGGAACUUGAUCGAGACCUGCCGCGACGAUCUCUCUUGUAUCCAGAUGAGGAAUCCCUUUUCCUAAUGGGUGAUCGUGACACCGAUUUCUCCAGUCUUCCAUAUUUUCUUGGUGAUUUGCGGAAUUUUGGUGAUGCGGAUCUGCGAUUUUGAGAAGAACCAUCCUUAUACUGAGACCUAUGCGGAGAGGCAGAUGUUUGCUUAGUAGAGGAAGACAAAUGAUCUCGAGAUGGGACCUUUUUAGCCUGAUCAGACCUUUUAGGUGAUGAAGAUUGUCUACGUUUGUGUCUACUUGACCUUUCACGUGAAGAAGAUUUUCUAGGUCUACAUGAUGUAGGUGGAUCAGAUGACUCUAAGAAACCUUCUUGUGAUGACGGCGGCCCAUGGCCUUCCGGAGACUGGUGUGUGUGCACGGGCUUUUCAGGUGACAUUUGUCUUAGCGUUGGUGGCAAUGCUGAAUGUUUAGAGGUGUUCCCAGAAGAAUGCGGAUGUAAAUGGGCUACAUCCAUCCUACCACUUUCAGUUGGGGUAUUUCUUGAAUGACAGUUGCCAUUCUUAGGUUCACUCUCCCGCCAGUUUGGCUUUUCAUUAGAGACAUUCACUUCCUCUUUCUCAGUAGUUUUUAACCUAUCUAAGUUAGAUUUGCCCUCCAGUUUCUCAGGCUGGCUGUCAUCUACUGUUAUAGGCAACUCCUGUGAAUGAGCAGAACCUUCAGUUCCCCUCUCACUGUGGGAAGUUUUUGCCAUAAAUUGAAACGAGGUUUUUUGAAAAUAACUGCCACUUAACUCAUCCAUCUCACCUUGGCAAUCUUCGUCCUUCAAUGGAGGCUGCAUCCGCUGAUGAUAGGUAAAUUCCGUAGGAAGUAAACGAAAAUUGUCAACAGGGGAUUCCAAGUUCUCAAUUUUAAAAUCAUCAGGCAGAGAAGAGGACCCCUGUGUCCCCAACUGGUUUGAAUCUACUUGCAAUCCACAAGUAGCCACUGAGUUUUCAAAAACACAACCUUCAGCUUCUACUUCUCUACCACCUGUGAAAUCAACAUCCAAUUCUCCAGCAGAUGUGGAACCACAUUGUCUCUGGAGAUGACUAAUUUCUUCUACAUCUAUCUCAGAAGAACCCAAACCCAUCCCUUGGUUUGUAGCUUCUUGUGUGGAUUCUUUCGUUCUCUAUUUCUCUAUGGCAAUAAUAUAAUAAUAGUUCUAAUCUUCUAAGGGGUUAUUAAAAAGAGAAAAAAAAAUCUGAAAUAUGAAAAAGAUUGAGCAUUUAGUUUUCGUGUUUUCUGGGAUCUCUGGGGUUGUA